rnacentral:sRNA from 1 species
AGGUCCCCCUCUGUCACCCAGGCUGGAAUGCAGUGGCGCAGUCUCGGCUCACUGCAAGCUCCAUUUCCUGGGCUCAAGCGAUCCUCCCACCUCAGCCCCCAAAGUAACUGGGAUUACAGGCGCUCAUCACCAUGCCCGGCUAAUUUUUGUAUUUUUUGUAGAGAUGAGGUUACGCCAUGUUGCCCAGUCGAAUUUUUGAGCUCAAGUGAUCCAACAGCCUCAGUCUCCCAAAAUACUGGGAUUACAGGCAUGAGUCACCACGCUCAGCCUUGUUUUGUUUUGUUUUGUUUUGUUUUGUUUUGUUUUUGAAACCGGGUCUUGCUGUGUCUUGAUCACAGCUCACUGCAGUCUUAACCUCCCAGGCUCAAGCGAGCCUUCUGCCUCAGCCUCCCAGGUAGGCUGGACCACAGCUAUAUGCCAUCAUGCCAGCUAAUUUUUUUAUUUUUGGUAGACACGGGGUCUUGCUAUGCUGCCCAGGCUGGUCUCAAACUCCUGGGCUCACCUGAUCCUCCUGUCUCGGCCUCCCAAAGUGCUGGGAUUACAGGUAUGAACCACUGUGCCUGGCCCCACCCUGCACUUUGAAAGAGCACAGAGUGGGGUCAGGGCCUGGCCUGUGGGCAUUAGGGCAGGUGUUUCACCGGGUUCUUGUUGACCCAUGCCAUGAGAUGGCCUCAGUCAUGCCAGUCCUCACCUUCUGGGCCCAGGGUCCUCUUCAUGGCUGUGUAACCUUGGGCAAGUGGCUGAACCUCCCGGGCCUCAUUUAUAAAACAGGCAUCAUAACAGAACUGCAGCUUGUGGCAGGAAUCACUAGAUUAAGGCACGCAAAGGGCUCAGUGCAUUUGCCCAAACCUAGCCUUUGGUUGACGUCCAUAGCUUCAAUUCGUAUAAGGAAAAUAUGGGGGCUACAGAAGGUGGGGUCAUAGACCGUGGGGUUGCCCAAGCCAGGGGCGCUGUUGUCCAUGUUUCAGCAAAACAGAUGUAUUUUUCUCUGGGCGACAAAACUCAUCCUAAAUGCGACUGAGGGCCCUGUAAUGUCCCAGGACAGCUUGACCGCUGGGGUGGGUCCCCUUCCACUGUCCCAGGCUGGGGCGCUGCGUCUGGGCUGCCCUUGGCACCAUCCACUCCUCUCUCGCCCACAGUCAAGUACGACCUUAACAACCCGGCCAAGCACGCCAAGCUGGACUUCCUCAACAACCUGGCCACGGGCCUGGUGUUCAUCAUCGUGGUAGUCAACAUCUUCAUCACGGCCUUCGGGGUCCAGAAGCCCUUGAUGGACAUGGCACCCCAGCAGUAGGACACCCAGGACCCUGGAUGCUGCCUGCCCUGCAACUCAGCUGCCCGACCCCAGGAGUCGCCAUACCUGUGAGGUGUCCACCUCCCUGCACAUGGCACUACCCAGACUGCCAGAGCCCAGGCUGGCCUCAUCUGCACCAUGUCCCCGGACCAGCCCUUGCUCUGACUGUGGCCAAGCACCACGCAGGAGGCCACUCUUGUCUCUCAGCAGCUGUUCCCAGGAGGCAGCUCCCUCCUGGCACAUGGGGGCUGGCCACAAUAACCCAGAGGGUCAGAACUGGACAGCUGCAGAGACCUGUGCCCAGAGAAGGGUCUCAACCCACUCAAGGACACACAGCAGGUCCGUGGAUGGGCUGGAUGAGUGACCAGGGCCAGCCUCUGUCUCAGGACAUUCCAGAAGGACAAGGAGAUGUCUCUCCCUCUCCCAAAGCACCAGCGUCCCUGCCUCCCAUGGGCCCUGUCUGGGUUGCCCUGGUGACCCCAGCCUCUGUCCACUUCCUAACCCAGGGACCCUGCACAGCCAGAACUGCCUUUGGCCCUACGGAUGGCCACUGGCUCUGGUCUUAAGUGCCUGGGCUUGGUGGCCAUCAAGAGGGAGCCAGUCAGGCCUGUGAGGGCCGUAGACCUUGUAUAUACCCUGCACCAGCAGUGACCGGGCAGAGCCCAGCCCCCUCCACGGGGGUCCCAGCACCCACUUUUCUAAUCAUGAAUGAACAAUAAAGCCCAUGCUCUUUGUCGGGCUCC